GGGGAGGGAGGUGUGGAAGCUGGUUUGCUGGGGCCACCCAGUGUGGGCUCAGGAAGGGAAGGAAUGUGACCGAGGCUGGGUGUGGCUGGGGAGAGCACAGCCAGUUGUGGGUUUUUCUUGGGGCCCAGAUAGAUGUGAGCAGAGCUGGAGGCCCCUCUCUCCCAGCCCCCAGCACACACACUAGGACCUUUCUUCA
ensembl:misc_RNA